UGGGGAAUAUUGGACAAUGGGGGCAACCCUGAUCCAGCAAUGCCGCGUGUGUGAAGAAGGCCUGCGGGUUGUAAAGCACUUUUAGCGAUGAGGAAGGGGUUAAGUCGAAUAGGCUUAGCUUUUGACGUUAGUCGCAGAAAAAGCACCGGCUAACUCUGUGCCAGCAGCCGCGGUAAUACAGAGGGUGCAAGCGUUAAUCGGAAUGACUGGGCGUAAAGGGUGCGUAGGUGGCGUUAUAAGUCAGUUGUGAAAUCCCCGGGCUUAACCUGGGAACUGCAAUUGAUACUGUGGUGCUAGAGUUUGGGAGAGGAUAGUGGAAUUUCCGGUGUAGCGGUGAAAUGCGUAGAUAUCGGAAGGAACACCAGUGGCGAAGGCGACUAUCUGGCCCAAAACUGACACU
rnacentral:rRNA from 1 species